rnacentral:rRNA from 1 species
UACGGAGGGUGCGAGCGUUAUCCGGAUUUACUGGGUUUAAAGGGUGUGUAGGCGGACUAUUAAGUCAGUGGUGAAAUCUUAGGGCUCAACCCUGAAACUGCCAUUGAUACUAUUAUUCUUGAAUACUGUGGAGGUGAGCGGAAUGUGUCAUGUAGCGGUGAAAUGCUUAGAGAUGACACAGAACACCGAUUGCGAAGGCAGCUCACUACGCAGUUAUUGACGCUGAGGCACGAAAGCGUGGGGAUCAAACAGG